rnacentral:rRNA from 1 species
CGGCGAACGGGUGAGUAACGCGUGGAUUAUCUGCCCUGAGUGGGGGAUAACCGGGGGAAACUCUGGCUAAUACCGCAUAUGACCGUGAGGUCAAAGGGGGUCGCAAGAUCUCUCGCCAUAGGAGGAGUCCGCGUACGAUUAGCUAGUUGGUAGGGUAAUGGCCUACCAAGGCGACGAUCGUUAGCCGGCCUGAGAGGGUGAUCGGCCACACUGGAACUGAGACACGGUCCAG